rnacentral:rRNA from 1 species
GAUCAUGGCUCAGGAUGAACGCUAGCUACAGGCUUAACACAUGCAGGUCGAGGGGCAUCAGUUUGGUUUGCUUGCAAACCAAAGUCUGGCGACCGGCGCACGGUGAGUAACACGUAUCCAACCUGCCUCAUACUCGGGGAUAGCCUUUCGAAAGAAAGAUUAAUAUCCGAUAGCAUAUAUUUCCCGCAUGGGUUUUAUAUUAAAGAAAUUCGGUAUGAGAUGGGGAUGCGUUCCAUUAGUUUG